UCCCUUUUAGAAGCUCCCAGUAGGUCUUUCGCUGUGACAAAUUGAGCUGUCAAGAAGGAGUGGAAUAAAAACACUGCUUUUGGGUGAAGUAGAAAUUUGUGUUGUUUUACUUCAAUUGGUAUUGUGACAAGA
ensembl:snoRNA